AAGUUUAAUUAAAUUUAAAGUUUACUUUUAACAAAAAUAUCAAAAUCAUUGUUAAAACCUAUUAAAAGCAGAUUGAACCUCGUAUAUAUCAUAAUGUGAGAAAACAAAAAUGAAAGUUAGCAGUUGAAAUCCAGAGUGAUUUGGGUAUCUUUUUUUAUUAGUUUCCCCAUGUAGUUAGAAAAAGUUAAUAAUAUUUAAAAUUAGAUUAUGCCAUAACUGGAAAUUGGUGGGUGAGAAGAAAACAAAAAGAAAGUUGUGGAAGGUGGAAUGAUGAAAAUAGCAUGUGAGAUGGAAUCUUAUGUAUGAGAAAAUUGAGUGUUUAAUAUUAUGAUUAAGUUAUGCGUAAAAGUGUUUGUUGGCACAAGUAUCGACAACACUACUUUGAACCAAAAGGCAUUGCAUGUGCAAAUAUCCCACCAAUUAUUUCCUAUUAUUUCCUCUACUAAACCCACCACCCAUCACCUACUUCCACUUUUUACUGCUACCCACUUUCUCACACCUCAAUGCCUAUCUAUGCCUCUCUUUUCCUUUUUUAUUUUUCUCCCCUUUUAAAAAAUCUCUUUUCCUUUUAACUUCAAAUUUUCCUCUUUUCCCUUUUGCUUUUCUUUUACAGGCCACAAUUUUUCACCAAUCAAUGCACCACAAAAAUUAUUCAGUAAUAUAGCGCCAUGGGAAUAGCUUGCCCAGCUCAGAACAAAAACAAUUCG
rnacentral:lncRNA from 1 species